UACGUAGGGUGCAAGCGUUAUUCGGAAUUACUGGGCGUAAAGCGUGCGCAGGCGGUUGUGCAAGACAGAUGUGAAAUCCCCGGGCUUAACCUGGGAAUUGCAUUUGUGACUGCACGGCUAGAGUGUGUCAGAGGGGGGUAGAAUUCCACGUGUAGCAGUGAAAUGCGUAGAUAUGUGGAGGAAUACCGAUGGCGAAGGCAGCCCCCUGGGAUAACACUGACGCUCAUGCACGAAAGCGUGGGGAGCAAACAGG
rnacentral:rRNA from 1 species